rnacentral:rRNA from 1 species
UACAGGGGGUGCAAACGUUGCUCGGAAUCAUUGGGCGUAAAGCGCACGUAGGCGGUUCGUUAUGUCGGAUGUGAAAGCCCUUGGCUUAACCGAGGAAGUGCAUCCGAAACUGGCGAGCUAGAGUACGAAAGAGGAUCGCGGAAUUCCCGGUGUAGAGGUGAAAUGCGCAGAUAUCAGGAGGAACACCAAUGGCGAAGGCAGCUCACUGGGACGGUACUGACGCUGAGACGCGAAAGCGUGGGGAGCAAACAGG